GACUGGAGAUGCAGGCAGGGCUGCCGCGGCGCUCGCUGUCUGCCCAGGGCACCCAGGACGCAGGAAGUUCUCUUUCAGUCUUGGAAUACCGCAGUCUUGCAAACAAGGACCAGACUGCUGGCCGGUGAGUGGUGCUCUGGGAUGGCGGUUGCCCAGAAACACGUGUGGCCCGAGGAACUUUGAACACCUGGACUGCAGGCACCUGGGAAGCGGGAGGAUGGGAAGACAGGCGGCUGACAGGCUGGGUCCUGCCCCGUGCCCGUCCAAACGCAUCGGCUGGCAUGUGGCUCUUUCUUUCCCAGUGUUAAAGAAAUCUUCUGUCAAUGUGGGAGACGCAGGAGAUCCCAGGACAUCGACGCAGGUUCAGUCCCACGGAAGACCCCUUGGAGGAGGCAAUGGCAACCCACUCCAGUAUGCUUGCCUGGAGAAUCCCACGGACAGAGGAGCCUGGCGGGCUAUAGCCCAUAGGGUCGCAAAGAGUUGGACAUGACUGAGCAACUAAGCAUGCACACCCAUGAAGAUGGUAUUAAAGGUGAGGGUUUGGCCAUUUGGGGGAAUAACUCAGUUUUCCUGGGUCUCUCCCAAAUACACAUUUUUUUUUUUUUACUUUUUACUUUUGUUUGAUUUUCUCCUGUUAAUCUGUCUCAUGUCAGUUUAAUUCUUAGACCAGCAAAAAGAACCUAAAAGGAUAGAGAAAAAUUUCCUCCUCCCUGACACAUACAUGCAACAGAUGCUUGUUGAAUAUCUCCUAUGUGUUCCAUAACAUCUUAUGGAAAAACCCAAACAAACGUUUUUGGCCAACCCAGUAUCAUGCCUGAUAGUGGCUGUUGCCCUUGGGGGACCUACUUGGUGCCAACUAUUGUUUUAAGCAUCUCAUAUGAACUAAUUUGUUCGGCUCCCUUUACAGCCUAUGAGGUGGAUACUGUCGUCUCCUUUUAUGGGCAUACUGAGGUACAGAGAAGCUGAGAAAUUUGGGAAAGUUCCACAACUAGAGGUUGAAAAAAUUGUGAACGUUCCACCGCUAGCUAAGUUGUAUUCUCCCCAAAUUCAUCUAGGUUUCACUGAAGUCUUAACCCCUCAGAAUGUGACUGUUGGACUUUGGGUCUUAAGAGGAGUAAUUAAAGUAAAAAUGAGCUCAUUAGGUUUUCCUAGAAGAAGAGGAGGUUAGGACACACAUACAGUUGCGUAUGUGUGACAUGACACAAGGAGAUGUCCCUCAAGAAUCCAAGGAAAAAGCCUCAGAAGAGACUCACCCCGCUGACACCUUGAUCUUGGGACUUCCAGCCUCCAGAAUUGUGAGACAGUUUCUGUUGCGUGAGCCGCCCAUCUGUGUUCCUUUGUUCCUCAGUCCAAACAGUCUGACACAGAGAUGCAGCACCUGGAUGUGGAUCCAGGCAGCUUGGAGUGUCUGUCGUAACCACCAAGCUCUCUCCAUAGGUGCUGGAGGCAUCCUAGCUCCCAACAAAGCCUCUCUCCUUGUGGUCAUAAGAGAGACUGAAUGGGACUUGGAAAGAGAACAUUCUUCUUCUUUUUAAAAAUUUUUAUUUAUUUUAUUUUGGCUGCACUGGGUCUUCAUCUCAAUGUACAGGCUUUCUCUAAUUGUGGCACAGGAGCUCUCUAACCAUGGCACGUGGGCUUGGUUGCCCCAUAGCAUGUGGGAUCUUAGUCUCCCUUCAGGAGACUGAACCCGUUCAGGAGCUGAACCCGUGUACCCUACCUUGGGAGGCAGAUUCUUAACCACUGGACCACCAGGAAAGUCCCCGAGAACAACAUUCUUAAUGAAUGAUUUAGUGUUACUAAUUGCAUUCCUAUGUAUCUCAUGAAAGAAACCAUCACCAGGACUGCCAGGGUGUAUGGAUCUCACUUUGGGAAGUAUAAACUGGACCGGUUAGGACCAGCCUGGGUCCCUGACAACCCCCAGGCCCCAGUUCCCCAGUGGUCGGCUCUCUCAGGCUUUUGCAGGAUAGCUGAGCAUCUCCAGAUUCUCCAGACCAGCACUUAGCUCUACUGAUCUGUGUGAACUAGACCACCAAAAGCCGUCUCUCUCUGGGAUCCCACCACGUGAACCAGCCCCUCAUGGAGGGGGCAAGGCUUCUCCAUCUAACGUGUAUCUUCUGGAGAUCCUGCUUCAGUUCGGUCUGGGUGGGUCCUGAGAUGCCACAUCUCUGACAAGCUCCCAGGUGAUGCUGAUGCUGUUGGCAGGGAGGGAGGGUGACUCAGGAUCCGGGCUCAUGUGAAGACUUCAACAGAUGCUGUGGGUCCCCUCCACGCACCAGAAGCCAGUGGUUGGAGAGAAGGUUACUCCUCCUGGGAGUGGGAAAGUUUAGAAAUCAUUUUCAGAAAAAACCAAAACAUUUCCUUACUUAAUCUACCAAAGGGCUCAUUUGCAAGUUUUCUGGCCCCCAAAUCUGGGAUCUGCCAUGAAAGAGGUCCUGGAGUUGGCUGGUUCUAAGCCAUUGGAGCAGGGUCUAGUAGAUUUUCAUACUCCUGAAGCCAAGAGUAAGACUGGGAGCCUUGGCUUAAGCUCUUCGAGUGAUGCAGAAUUGAGGUGAGCUGGGGAGGCCCCUAUAGCUGUGUGGGGAGAGGAUGAACAAAUACUGAUGAGUGCUCAAUGCCUUCUCCUUCUCUGAGAAUCUUACACUCUGAGUUCUGACACUCCACACUCCAAUUCAUCGCAUGAUCCCAGACAAGAUUUGAGCAUUCAUUCCAGAAUCUUCCAACUCCUUCCUCAAGGAUCACCCACUUUCCAGGAUCAAAAGACACCUCUUCAGAGAGGCCUUCCUUUCUUAGACCCCCAUGACUAUUCUGUCUGAUACAACUCCUUCCCCUGGUCUGUUGUUAGACUGUCUUACAAUUUUUUUAUACUGUGAUCACUAAUUUUUUUUCACUUCCUUCAUAGCAAUUGCCACACCUUGAAAUUACAUGUUUGUUUCUUUAUUUAUUUAUCUCAUGGCUCCUCCACCAAAUUGUACCUUCUACUGGGUUGAGGACCAUGUCAUUUUCAUCCAUCCAUAUCGUCCGUCUCCCAGCACUGUAUGGAGCCUGGCCCUUGAGAGGCCCUAGAUAAAUAGCUGUUGGAUGAAGAAAUAAGGAUACCAUCACUUCUGAACUUUAACAUACAUAUGAUUCAUCUGGGGAUUUUGUUAAAAUGCAGAUUCUGAUUCAACCAGUCUGGAUGGGGCCUAAGAGUCUGCAUUUUUUUUUUUUGACUGCUCUGCGUCUUCGUUGAUGCAAGAGGGCUUUCGCUAGUUGUGGUGAGUGGAGGCUACUGUAGUUGCAGUGAGUGGGCUUCUCAUUGCAGCAGCUUCUCUUGUUGCAGAGCACUGGCUCUAGAUCACAGGCUCAGUA